AACAGGAUUAGAUACCCUGGUAGUCCACGCUGUAAACGAUGUCGAUUUGGAGGUUGUGCCCUUGAGGCGUGGCUUCCGGAGCUAACGCGUUAAAUCGACCGCCUGGGGAGUACGGCCGCAAGGUUAAAACUCAAAUGAAUUGACGGGGGCCCGCACAAGCGGUGGAGCAUGUGGUUUAAUUCGAUGCAACGCGAAGAACCUUACCUACUCUUGACAUCCAGAGAACUUAGCAGAGAUACUUUGGUGCCUUCGGGAACUCUGAGACAGGUGCUGCAUGGCUGUCGUCAGCUCGUGUUGUGAAAUGUUGGGUUAAGUCCCGCAACGAGCGCAACCCUUAUCCUUUGUUGCCAGCGGUUCGGCCGGGAACUCAAAGGAGACUGCCAGUGAUAAACUGGAGGAAGGUGGGGAUGACGUCAAUCAUCAUGGCCCUUACGAGUAGGGCUACACACGUGCUACAAUGGCGUAUACAAAGAGAAGCGACCUCGCGAGAGCAAGCGGACCUCAUAAAGUACGUCGUAGUCCGGAUUGGAGUCUGCAACU
rnacentral:rRNA from 1 species